rnacentral:rRNA from 1 species
CGGGGUGAGUAACGCGUGGAUAACCUGCCUCACACAGGGGAUAACAGUUAGAAAUGACUGCUAAUACCGCAUAAGCGCACGGUACCGCAUGGUACAGUGUGAAAAACUCCGGUGGUGUGAGAUGGAUCCGCGUCUGAUUAGGUAGUUGGUGAGGUAACGGCCCACCAAGCCGACGAUCAGUAGCCGACCUGAGAGGGUGAUCGGCCACAUUGGGACUGAGACACGGCCCAA